AUUGAACGCUAGCGGGAUGCUUUACACAUGCAAGUCGAACGAGAGGCGGAAGGGAGAGUAAUAUAUCGGAACGUGCCCAGGAGGUGGGGAUAACUACUAGAAAGAGUGGCUAAUAACGCAAACUACUGGAGCGGCCGAUAUCGGAUAGGCUAGUUGGUGGGGUAAAGGCUCACCAAGGCCACGAGCCGGAGCUGGUGUGAGAGGACGACCAGCCACACUGUGACUGAGACACGGCCCAGACUUCUACGCGAGGCAGCAGUGGGGAAUUUUGGACAAUGGGGGAAACCCUGAUCCAGCCAUCCCGCGUGUAUGAGAAGGCCGUCGGGUUGUAAAGUACUUUUGGCAGAGAAGCGGUGUCUGCAGAAUAAGCACCGGCUAACUACGUGCCAGCCGCCGCGGUAAUUC
rnacentral:rRNA from 1 species